rnacentral:tRNA from 1 species
GCUGCGCCUGGUUUAGGAGUUGCGGCGCCUGGCUUAGGUGCGCCAGAAGGCUUAGGUGCGGAGCCCUUGGGCUCUGCU